UACGGGAGGCAGCAGUGGGGAAUUUUCCGCAAUGGGCGAAAGCCUGACGGAGCAAUACCGCGUGAGGGACGAAGGUCUGUAGAUUGUAAACCUCUUUUGUUAGGGAAGAUAAUGACGGUACCUAACGAAUAAGCAUCGGCUAACUCCGUGCCAGCAGCCGCGGUAAGACGGAGGAUGCAAGCGUUAUCCGGAAUUAUUGGGCGUAAAGCGUACGUAGGCUGUUAGAUAAGUCUGUUGUCAAAGCGCGAGGCUCAACCUUGUAAAGGCAAUGGAAACUGUUUGACUAGAGAGAGAUAGGGGCAGGAGGAAUUCCAGGUGUAGCGGUGAAAUGCGUAGAUAUCUGGAAGAACACCAGUGGCGAAAGCGUCCUGCUGGAUCUCAACUGACGCUGAAGUACGAAAGCUAGGGGAGCGAAUGGGAUUAGAUACCCCAGUAGUCCUAGCCGUAAACGAUGGGUACUAGGUGUUGGUCGUAUCGACCCGAUCAGUGCCGUAGCUAACGCGUUAAGUACCCCGCCUGGGGAGUACGGUCGCAAGAUUGAAACUCAAAGGAAUUGACGGGGA
rnacentral:rRNA from 1 species